AGCUCUCCGAGUGGUGUGGAUGUUUAUUGGGCCUAAAGCAUCCGUAGCUGGCUGAGUUAGUCCCUUGUUAAAUCCACCGAAUUAAUCGUUGGAUUGCGGGGGAUACUGCUCGGCUAGGGGACGAGAGAGGCAGACGGUAUUUCCGGGGUAGGGGUGAAAUCCUAUAAUCCCGGGAAGACCACCAGUGGCGAAGGCUGUCUGCUAGAACGCGCCCGACGGUGAGGGAUGAAAGCUGGGGGAGCGAACC
rnacentral:rRNA from 1 species